GAAGCAUAACUCUGUUCUUAUUUGCAAUUAGCAUUACCCCUGUGGUUUCUGAUCAUUAUUCCAAUACAGGUUGGAAACUUCAGAGUUGAAUCACUUGGAAUGUUCUGAGGCCAUGGCAAGCAUCCCAAGUCAGGAAAGCUGAAGAGGAGGAUUCACCCAAGUGAAGUCACAAUAAAUAUAGGAAAAAAAUACCGAGAUUCCCGAAUGUCCCAUUCCGGGUGAAAAGAAUAAUUUUGAGGUUAACUUGGUACACUCUUUUAUGCCGAUGGCAAGAAGUUCAAAUACGUAUGUCUGGCAGCUAGUAGUUCUUUAAAGGACUAAGCGACGAGGAGAAAUAUGAGAGAGCAAGGAAGUUGAAGGUGCUUAAAUGAAGAUGAGCUAUAAGAGUUUGAUGUAGAAGCUGCUCAGAAGGGGAUUGUCUACAUUAAUGAAGUUGAUAAGAUAAUAAAGGCUGAGAGCUCAAAUGGCGGCUGAGAUGUAUCUGGGUAGGGCGUCCACUUUUCCAGAACGCCUUUCUUCCUUAUAUGGCCAUCACCAUGACACCGUAUGUCCAAAGAAGUAUCACUCAUUGCACUCAAGUCAUCUUUAUACACCAAGCUAUGUGUUGUACAAGGAACGACAAAACUCUCCACUUGCAACGUCCAACGAUCGAUUCGUAAGCUUCCACUUCCCAUCACCAAUAAACUGGUGGAAACCUUGCCUGUCAAGAGCACUUGCAGACAAUAUGUUGACACGUAGAUCAAGAACGUGCCUCACAUCCUUCAAUGUCAUAUGGUAACCCAGAUUAGUCUCGAUGCAAAUAUCUCUU